rnacentral:rRNA from 1 species
ACUCAAAUGAAUUGACGGGGGCCCGCACAAGCGGCGGAGCAUGUGGAUUAAUUCGAUGCAACGCGAAGAACCUUACCUGGGUUUGACAUGCACCAGACGCGUUCAGAGAUGGGCGUUCCCUUGUGGUUGGUGUGCAGGUGGUGCAUGGCUGUCGUCAGCUCGUGUCGUGAGAUGUUGGGUUAAGUCCCGCAACGAGCGCAACCCUUAUUCCAUGUUGCCAGCACGUGAUGGUGGGGACUCAUGGGAGACUGCCGGGGUCAACUCGGAGGAAGGUGGGGAUGACGUCAAGUCAUCAUGCCCCUUAUGUCCAGGGCUUCACACAUGCUACAAUGGCUCAUACAGAGGGCUGCGAGACCGUGAGGUGGAGCGAAUCCCUUAAAGUGGGUCUCAGUUCGGAUCGGGGUCUGCAACUCGACCCCGUGAAGUCGGAGUCGCUAGUAAUCGCAGAUCAGCAACGCUGCGGUGAAUACGUUCCCGGGCCUUGUACACACCGCCCGU